CGGGACACGUGGUAUCCUGUCUGAAUAUGGGGGGACCAUCCUCCAAGGCUAAAUACUCCUGACUGACCGAUAGUGAACCAGUACCGUGAGGGAAAGGCGAAAAGAACCCCGGCGAGGGGAGUGAAAAAGAACCUGAAACCGUGUACGUACAAGCAGUGGGAGCACGCUUAGGCGUGUGACUGCGUACCUUUUGUAUAAUGGGUCAGCGACUUAUAUUCUGUAGCAAGGUUAACCGAAUAGGGGAGCCGAAGGGAAACCGAGUCUUAACUGGGCGUUAAGUUGCAGGGUAUAGACCCGAAACCCGGUGAUCUAGCCAUGGGCAGGUUGAAGGUUGGGUAACACUAACUGGAGGACCGAACCGACUAAUGUUGAAAAAUUAGCGGAUGACUUGUGGCUGGGGGUGAAAGGCCAAUCAAACCGGGAGAUAGCUGGUUCUCCCCGAAAGCUAUUUAGGUAGCGCCUCGUGAAUUCAUCUCCGGGGGUAGAGCACUGUUUCGGCAAGGGGGUCAUCCCGACUUACCAACCCGAUGCAAACUGCGAAUACCGGAGAAUGUUAUCACGGGAGACACACGGCGGGUGCUAACGUCCGUCGUGAAGAGGGAAACAACCCAGACCGCCAGCUAAGGUCCCAAAGUCAUGGUUAAGUGGGAAACGAUGUGGGAAGGCCCAGACAGCCAGGAUGUUGGCUUAGAAGCAGCCAUCAUUUAAAGAAAGCGUAAUAGCUCACUGGUCGAGUCGGCCUGCGCGGAAGAUGUAACGGGGCUAAACCAUGCACCGAAGCUGCGGCAGCGACGCUGAUGCGUUGUUGGGUAGGGGAGCGUUCUGUAAGCCUGUGAAGGUGUGCUGUGAGGCAUGCUGGAGGUAUCAGAAGUGCGAAUGCUGACAUAAGUAACGAUAAAGCGGGUGAAAAGCCCGCUCGCCGGAAGACCAAGGGUUCCUGUCCAACGUUAAUCGGGGCAGGGUGAGUCGACCCCUAAGGCGAGGCCGAAAGGCGUAGUCGAUGGGAAACAGGUUAAUAUUCCUGUACUUGGUGUUACUGCGAAGGGGGGACGGAGAAGGCUAUGUUGGCCGGGCGACGGUUGUCCCGGUUUAAGCGUGUAGGCUGGUUUUCCAGGCAAAUCCGGAAAAUCAAGGCUGAGGCGUGAUGACGAGGCACUACGGUGCUGAAGCAACAAAUGCCCUGCUUCCAGGAAAAGCCUCUAAGCAUCAGGUAACAUCAAAUCGUACCCCAAACCGACACAGGUGGUCAGGUAGAGAAUACCAAGGCGCUUGAGAGAACUCGGGUGAAGGAACUAGGCAAAAUGGUGCCGUAACUUCGGGAGAAGGCACGCUGAUAUGUAGGUGAAGC
rnacentral:rRNA from 1 species